AACGAACGCUGGCGGCAUGCCUAAAAAAGGAAAGUAGAAAGAGACCUUCGGGUCUAGUGGCGCACGGGUGCGUAACGCGUGGGAACCUGCCCUUAGGUUCGGAAUAACUCCCCGAAAGGGGUGCUAAUACCGGAUAAUGUCUUCGGACCAAAGAUUUAUCGCCUUUGGAUGGGCCCGCGUUGGAUUAGCUAGUUGGUAGGGUAAAAGCCUACCAAGGCGACGAUCCAUAGCUGGUCUGAGAGGAUGAUCAGCCACACUGGGACUGAGACACGGCCCAGACUCCUACGGGAGGCAGCAGUGGGGAAUAUUGGACAAUGGGCGAAAGCCUGAUCCAGCAAUGCCGCGUGAGUGAUGAAGGCCUUAGGGUUGUAAAGCUCUUUUACCCGGGAUGAUAAUGACAGUACCGGGAGAAUAAGCUCCGGCUAACUCCGUG
rnacentral:rRNA from 1 species